GCCGCGUGAGUGAUGAAGGCCCUAGGGUUGUAAAGCUCUUUUGUGCGGGAAGAUAAUGACGGUACCGCAAGAAUAAGCCCCGGCUAACUUCGUGCCAGCAGCCGCGGUAAUACGAAGGGGGCUAGCGUUGCUCGGAAUCACUGGGCGUAAAGGGUGCGUAGGCGGGUCUUUAAGUCAGGGGUGAAAUCCUGGAGCUCAACUCCAGAACUGCCUUUGAUACUGAGGAUCUUGAGUUCGGGAGAGGUGAGUGGAACUGCGAGUGUAGAGGUGAAAUUCGUAGAUAUUCGCAAGAACACCAGUGGCGAAGGCGGCUCACUGGCCCGAUACUGACGCUGAGGCACGAAAGCGUGGGGAGCAAACA
rnacentral:rRNA from 2 species